rnacentral:tRNA from 1 species
UCCCUGGUGGUCCAGUGGCUAAGACUCCAGGUUCCCAAUGUGAGGGGCCUGGGUUCAAUCCCUGGUCAGGGAA